GCGAAAACUUUACAAUGCUGGCAACAGCGAUAAGGGAACCUCGAGUGCCAGGUUACAAAUCUGGCUGUCGAGAUGCCUAAAAAGCAUUUCAUAGCAAGGGCCGGGCAAGACCGGUGCCAGCCGCCGCGGUAACACCGGCGGCUCGAGUGGUAACCGUUAUUAUUGGGUCUAAAGGGUCUGUAGCCGGCCGGAUAAGUCUCUUGAGAAAUCUGGCAGCGUAACUGUCAGGCUUUCAGGAGAUACUGUCUGGCUCGAGGCCGGGAGAGGUGAGAGGUACUUCAGGGGUAGGGGUGAAAUCUUGUAAUCCGUGAAGGACCACCAGUUGCGAAGGCGUCUCACCAGAACGGACCUGACGGCAAGGGACGAAAGCUAGGGGCACGAACC
rnacentral:rRNA from 1 species